GGAACAACAUAAUCUUUUAUGGACGUCCAGAACAUCUGAUUUUCUCUCCUCAAGUUGCAAACGGCAACAACUGCAAUGCGCUAAUGACUCUGGUGUCAUGUUGAACCACUUACAGCUCUGGGAAGGGAAAACACAAUAUUGGGCCUACUUUUGGAAUUUCGGCUCGGACGGUUCGAUAUAUCGUGAGGUCCAGGACAUGAUCCAAGUGAAACAAGUACUGGAAUAUCAAAACCGUACAAUGAACUGUUCUGUUGUUAAGGAUUGAGCAGUGGGAGUAUUACGGUG